rnacentral:rRNA from 1 species
AGUGAACGCUGGCGGUAGGCCUAACACAUGCAAGUCGAACGGCAGCACAGUAAGAGCUUGCUCUUACGGGUGGCGAGUGGCGGACGGGUGAGGAAUACAUCGGAAUCUACUUUUUCGUGGGGGAUAACGUAGGGAAACUUACGCUAAUACCGCAUACGACCUACGGGUGAAAGCAGGGGAUCUUCGGACCUUACGCGAUUGAAUGAGCCGAUGUCGGAUUAGCUAGUUGGCGGGGUAAAGGCCCACCAAGGCGACGAUCCGUAGCUGGUCUGAGAGGAUGAUCAGCCACACUGGAACUGAGACACGGUCCAGACUCCUACGGGAGGCAGCAGUGGGGAAUAUUGGACAAUGGGCGCAAGCCUGAUCCAGCCUUACCGCGUGGGUGAAGAAGGCCUUCGGGUUGUAAAGCCCUUUUGUUGGGAAAGAAAAGCAGCAGGUUAAUACCCCGCUGUUCUGACGGUACCCAAAGAAUAAGCACCGGCUAACUUCGUG